rnacentral:rRNA from 1 species
GACGAACGCUGGCGGCGUGCUUAACACAUGCAGGUCGAACGGAAAGGCCCUGCUUUUGUGGGGUGCUCGAGUGGCGAACGGGUGAGUAACACGUGAGUAACCUGCCCUUGACUUUGGGAUAACUUCAGGAAACUGGGGCUAAUACCGGAUAGGAGCUCCUGCUGCAUGGUGGGGGUUGGAAAGUUUCGGCGGUUGGGGAUGGACUCGCGGCUUAUCAGCUUGUUGGUGGGGUAGUGGCUUACCAAGGCUUUGACGGGUAGCCGGCCUGAGAGGGUGACCGGCCACAUUGGGACUGAGAUACGGCCCAGACUCGUACGGUAGGCAGCAGUGGGGAAUAUUGCACUAUGGGCGGAAGCCUGAUGCAGCAACGCCGCGUGCGGGAUGACGGCCUUCGGGUUGUAAACCGAUUUCGCCUGUGACGAAGCGUGAGUGACGGUAAUGGGUAAAGAAGCACCGGCUAACUACGUG